AUGCAGCUGGUCUCGGGUGGCCAUACUGCUGUUUCGGUUAAUGGUUUCAUUAGCAACUUCUUCACAAAUGGUAGGGGCCUGCGCCAAGGGGAUCCUGCUUCCCCUGUUCUUUUUAAUUUUGUGGCUGAUGCCUUCUCGUGCAUCCUCUCCAGGGCGGCCCGCUGUGGGCACAUUGCUCCUGUGGUCUCCCAUUUACUCCCGGAGGGUGUUUCCCACUUGCAAUAUGCGGAUGAUACAAUUAUCUUGGUGGAGUUGGAUGACGCCUGCAUUGCUAACCUGAAAUUCAUCCUGCUGUGUUUCGAAGCUGUUUCGGGUCUUAAGAUUAAUUUUGCUAAAAGUGAGGUCCUGGUGACGGGUGUGGAUGGGGCCGAAGCGUUGCGGGUUGCCAGGCUUCUUAACUGUUCUUUGGGUUCCUUUCCCUUCAAGUAUCUAGGACUCCCUAUUUCUCCUGGCGUGCUCCAUGCUAAAGAUUUCGCUCCGGCGGUAGCUAAAGUGGGGAACAGGGUGCUUCCUUGGAGGGGCAGAUACAAUACCAAUGCUGGCAAAGUUGCUCUAAUUAACUCCUGCUUAUCCUCUCUACCCAUGUUUCUUAUGGGCUUUUAUCUUCUUACGGAUGGCGUGCAUGCUGGUUUCGACAAACAUAGGGGAGCUUUCUACUGGAAUUCCGUGGAUAACAAACGGAAAUAUAGGCUGGUCAAGUGGCAACAUAUGUGUAAGCCUAAAAACCUUGGGGGGUUAGGCAUUAUUAAUACUCGGGUAAUGAACAUUUGCUUGCUUAUCAAGUGGUGGUGGAAAAUUUUCACUAGUGGGGCUGAUUCGCUGUGGUUUUUGAUUCUCAAGGCUAAAUACUUCCCACACUCCAACCCACUGUUUGCGUCCUCUAUAUAA
rnacentral:rRNA from 1 species